rnacentral:rRNA from 1 species
GAUAAACGCUGGCGGCGCACAUAAGACAUGCAAGUCGAACGGACUUAACCAUUAGUUUACUAUUGGAGCGGUUAGUGGCGGACUGGUGAGUAACGCGUGAGGAACCUGCCUCGGAGUGGGGAAUAACAGUUGGAAACAGCUGCUAAUACCGCAUGAUGCAACGGAAUCGCAUGACUCUGUUGCCAAAGAUUUAUCGCUCUGAGAUGGCCUCGCGUCUGAUUAGCUAGUUGGCGGGGUAACGGCCCACCAAGGCGACGAUCAGUAGCCGGACUGAGAGGUUGGCCGGCCACAUUGGGACUGAGACACGGCCCAG